rnacentral:rRNA from 1 species
AUCGAUCGCCUGGCGGCGCGCUUAACACAUGGCAAGUCGCACGAGAAAGGGAGCAAUCCUGAGAUAAAGCUGCGUACGGGUGAGUAACACGUGGAUAUCAUCUACCUUUAGUGGGGAAUACCUCUGGGAAACCGGAAGGACAGAUACCGCAUAAGCCCGAGAGGGGAAAGCAGGCAAUGCGCUGAAAGAGUGAGUGCCGCGGCUGAUUUAGCUAGUUGGUGAGGUAAUGGCUCACCAAGGCGACGAUCGGUAGCCGCGCCUGAGAGGGCUCAUCGGCCACACUGGCAACUGAACACGGGCCCAGACUCCUAGCGAGGGGCAGCUAGUGGGCCGAAUCUUGCACAAUGGAGGAAACUCCUGAUGCAGGCGACGACCGCGUGAGCGAUGAAGCCCUUCAGGGGCUGUAAGGCUCUUUCGACAGGAACGAUAAUGACGGUACUUGGCAGAGAGAAGCUCGCGGCUAACUACGUAGCUCAGCAGCCGCGGUAUAAUACGUAGAGCAGCAAGCGUUGUUCGGAAUUACUGGCGCGUAAAGAGUGUUGUAGGCGGUGCUACCAAGUAUCUGGUGUGAAAUCUCCCCGGCUUCAACUGGGAGGGUGUGCGCCUAGAAACUGGAGUCGGCCUAGAGGGUGGGAGAGGUAGCGGAAUUCCUGGUGUAGCGCGGUGAAAUGCAGUAGAUAAUCAGGAGGAACACCUGUGGUGUAGACAGCUUACUGGACCAUUUCUGACGCUGAGACACGAAAGCGUGGGGUAGCAAACAGGAUUAGUAUACCCUGGGUAGAUCCAUCGCCCCUAAACGAUGCGCUACUUGGUGUGAUGCAGCAUUCAUUUGGUUCGUGCCGGAGCUAACGCGUAAGUAUGCCGCCUGGGGAGUACGGUCGCAAGGCUGAAACUCAAAGGAAUUGACGGGGGCCCCGCACAAGCGGUGAGCAUGUGGUUUAAUUUCGACGCAACGCGAAGAACCUUACCUGGGCUCGAACGGCUUUGGAUCGACGGUGGAAACACUGUUUUCCCGCAAGGGACUGAAGUCGAGGUGCUGCCAUGGCCUGUCGUCAGCUCGUGUCGUGAGAAUGUUGGGUUAAGUCCCCGCUACGAACGAGCGCAACCCUUGUCCUGUGUGCCAUCAUUGUAGUUGGGGCACUCUCAGGAGACCGCCAGGCGAUAAGUUGGAGGAAGGUGGGGAUGAUGUCAAGUCAUCAUUGGCCUUUAUGUCCAGGGCUACACACGUGCUUACAAUGGUCGGUACAAUACGCUGCAAACCCGCCGAGGAGGGGAGCCAAUCGUAAAAAACCGGUCCUGCUCAGUUCGGAUUGCAGGCUGCAACUCGCCUGCAUGAAGCUGGAAUCGCUAGGUAAUGGCGUAUCAGAAUGACGCCGUGAAUACGUUAUCCCGGGCCCUUGUAGCACACCGCCACGUCACAUCACGAAAGUGGAUUGUACUAGAAGUCCUAAUCAAACAGGCCCAAGGUAUAGAUUCAUGAUUGGGGUG